UACGAAGGGUGCAAACGUUGCUCGGAAUUAUUGGGCGUAAAGCGCGUGUAGGCGGCCCGGUAAGUCCGCUGUGAAAGUCGGGGGCUCAACCCUCGGAUGCCGGUGGAUACUGUCGGGCUCGAGUACGGAAGAGGCGAGUGGAAUUCCUGGUGUAGCGGUGAAAUGCGCAGAUAUCAAGGAGGAACACCAAUUGCGAAGGCAG
rnacentral:rRNA from 1 species